rnacentral:rRNA from 1 species
GGAGGGAGCAAGCGUUGUUCGGAAUCACUGGGCGUAAAGCGAGUGUAGGUUGUUAGGCAAGUAGGAUGUGAAAGCCCGGGGCCCAACCCCGGAACUGCAUUCUAAACUGCCUGGCUAGAGUCCCGGAGAGGAAGGCGGAAUUCCGAGUGUAGAGGUGAAAUUCGUAGAUAUUCGGAGGAACACCAGAGGCGAAGGCGGCCUUCUGGACGGUGACUGACACUGAGACUCGAAAGCGUGGGGAGCAAACAGGAUUAGAUACCCUGGUAGUCCACGCCGUAAACGAUGGGUGCUAGUCGUCGCGGGUAUUGACCCCUGCGGUGACGAAGCUAACGCAUUAAGCACCCCGCCUGGGAAGUACGGCCGCAAGGCUA